UCCCUGGUGGCUUAGAUGGUAAAGAAUCUGCCUGCAAAGCAGGAAAGCCAGGUUCAAUUCCUGGAUCGGGAA
rnacentral:tRNA from 1 species